UACCCUUAUGAAAUUGAGCUACCGCAAAUCGGCAGCCAUGAAUUUUUUACCACUUCAAUAUACUAAGGCUAUUUAACAUACCCAUGUAACUUAGUAUCUAGCUCUAAUUCCAUCAUUAACUUCUAAUAUUAAUAUUUUCAAUUACAUAUGCAAAAGGAGUAAGGAAAGUAAUCUCUCGGAGUGAGACCCAUCGAGGCAUCAAUUUAUAACCUGAGGUUGGAUUGACCCAGAGUCCACCCAUGGUGAUGAAAGAGAAAAACUGUGUGGCCAGGAUGGUACAGAGGUUGUCGCUUUUGGAAAAUGUUCUCGAUUCAUUAGAAGGGAACGUGGCGCGUUAACGAGGCCAAUAACGGUGCAGGCAGGUGCCACGUGCCGAGGACCACUGUCGGUGGCCAUCAUCGUACACUUACUUUCUUGCUGUUCACCAGUAAUAUUUUGAAUGAAACAGUAACACAGGCCCGUUUGAGAAAGCGGAUUAAUUAAAAGCCCCUACGUGAGUCGAUGGAUGAAUUUUUAUCGAUGGAAUACGUCUUGACGUCCAACAAGGGCGAUCAUCGAACUCGGGCACGAUCGUUCACUUUCCUUCGGUUGAAUCGUUCCUCUUCUUGCCCGUUUCAUUUCUUUUUCAUUAAUUUCUCCCCGUUGAACAUUUUUGGGGAACGACGUUGCGAGCAUUUAGCAUAGAUCAUUAAAUCCUCGUUUAACGAUCGUUUUCUCUUCCAUUAUUUUCCAAUUUUUAUCAUUAAUGACGGUAAUGGCGAUUUCCGAUUUCACGCGUCGUUUCUUGGCAUUUUAUAUUCCUCGCAUCCCAGUGCUGCCUUUUUUUCUGUCAUUUCCUUCGCAAGGAAACCCUCGUCGAAGGCUAAGCCAGCUGUUCACCCCUCGGCACGGAAGUAAUCCUGGGCUAUCGGCUUCCUCUGGGCCUGGAAAAAACGGAAGAUGAAUUACGACUUCUGGAUGCUGGAAACGAGGACCAGGCGUCUGUAAACCUUUCCAGGGAGGCGAAGAAUGUGCAUCUUCUCGGGAGAAACAUUUUGUAAACACAGACAUUUGCAUCAAAAGAUGAUAAUCGUAAAGUCAGCCGAAAGAUCAAAGAAACACCUGUCACUCCAGAAUCACCUGUCAUUCGAGACCCGUACGAAGCUUAUAUUUUGACCAUAAACAUCCAAUAAUUGUGUUGUCACAGUCGCCUUAAUAAUGUUUCCAAGUGUCGGACAGGCUACCGACGGUUGAUGUUCGAUCGCAGGUGAACAUUCUGUCGUAGACAUUUCACGCAUCUAUUACAGUGAAAACUAUCAAUUAUAAACGGAGCAAGUAGCUGAUAAAUAUUAAUGAUAUAAUUUCGACGAAAUUCCAACUUCGUGAGUUAAACCUUUUCCAAGUUGGAUAAAAGAUCGCAGGGGAAUUAUUCGGCGUAUCUACGAUCUUCCCUCGCAGGAUUACGCAAGGAGUCGUCGCGAAAGGGGAGAGAUAUGGUAGGAACGUGGAGGAAAGGAUUUGGCAAAGAUUUCGUGAAAGAUUCCCAGAGUAUCGAGGAGGGCGUAAAGACGACAGAUUGCCGGCUUCGAUCGAGACAAGUCGAAGGGUUUGCCAGCCGGUCGACUCGUUUCUUUCACUGGCUUUCGCUUCGCUACACGACUGACUCCUGCCCGCGAGGUUUUCACCCUUGCGAGACCUUCUGGAAAGCCUUCACCUUCUCGCCCCAUUUCUUCUCGCUUUAUUCCCUUACCUUGCAAUUUCUAUGAAAAGUAAGUCUAUCAAUUUUUUCGACCUGUAUAUCUAAUAAGCGUACCACAAGGUAGGCUCCAACUGUGGACCUUCUGUUUUUGUAAAGGGUUAAUCCAUCUUUCCAGAGGCUCUGUCACGAAUAAUACUAAUUUAUCGCGUUUCCAGGUCGAAAAAGAUCUCGGAAAGCGUCUCGACGUCGAUGGAACACCUGAAAGGAGGGCACCAAAGGGUGAGUCUCGUGGUUAGAUCGGUACGUUGGCCAUGAUCAGAACACUUGGGAGAUUCGGUGGUUGUGCACGGUUUGCAGAUAAGAAAGAAGACGCUCCGGGGCAACGGUAGUCGGAGUCGGGGAGGUAGAGGGCGAGGAACAGCUGCGAGACACCCCAAGUGUACGAAGAAUCUUUUGAAUCACUGACUGGCUGCUGUACGGUUCUCUUGUCUUCCCCCGAUCUUCUUCUUCUUCGUCGUCAUCGUUCCAACGGUCGUUGCCAACAGUCGAUGGAAAUGAAGGAACGAAUCGAUUUGCGUUCAGGAUAAACUUUGGGGACACCGGAGGGUCGUUCUUCUUCAACCACCGACCACGUCGUUUCUCACUAUAAUGAAUCUCUGUGAUUUCCUUGUACUCCAUUAUUUACGUAUGACCGUACUCGCAAUUAACAUUUUAUAAUUGCAAAACGUGGUUAGGCAAAUGUCUAUAAGAAGAAUUGUCCUUCGAAUCGUUGGUGUUGUCCUGGAGUCAGACCAUACGAGUCAUCGACACCUGCCCAUACCUGGACUCUUCUAGUUCCCUUGACCCAGUCCUCUUUCUGUUGGAACGACCGUUGCGAUUUCAGCGGGUCGUUUGCGUAAGGAAGACGAUCCAUAGGGGAGGAUCUAAAAUUCAAAAGAUCCACCGUCAGGGGUGUUUAUAAGAAGAAUGAAACGUGUUGGCACAAAAGAUGAAUUCUUCCUGAUGAUUAACAGCCACCAAAACCCUGUGUACGUUAACGUCUUAUACCUACACCAAUUCAAAAUAAUAAACUAAGGAAGUUAAUCCAAACGACGUAGAUCCACAAAGAAGCCAAGUAACGAUAACUCAACAGUCUGUGCUUUUUUCACCCCUUUCUCGACCGGUGUUCUUCUCCAAAGGAACGUCGGAACCAGGAAAGAGGGAAAAAAGAGGAAUAGGGCGAAGAAACUUUGAAAAUCCCGUGUCAUGCCAACGGCAGAGGGUUGAACAACCCUACGCGAGCCUUUAUUAAGCACCGGAGACUUAUUCUCGGUGCCAGACGGCGUGCAGUAAAAAGGGGGAAGAGGAAGAUCCUGGCAACCCUUUCUCUAGGAAGACGCCAGGUUCCGGCAUAGUUUACGACCUUUCCACUUUCGUUUUCCUGCUUUCAUCGUUCGUUGCUGCACGGGAACGUUUCCAAGGAAUCCGUGAAUCGAUCGAUGCCUCGGAAUCGGAAUGGAAGAAAGCUGUGCUCGCACCUGCAAGCUCUUCCGGUUGGAAAAUGAAAGAUGGAAAUACGUCCGUGCAGAGUGUUUGCAGAAUCUGUUUGCAGAAUCCGCUUUCCAUCGCUUUCAGCGUACGCAACAUCGAAGCUGAUCCAGGAUUUUCCACGGGCAUCAGUUUUCACCGUACCUGUGGAAAAGCCUGCCGUGAAAGGAAUCGUGCAAAACCCAACUACGACCCCCGAAGCUGCACCCCACGAGUCGCGUUCCCCGUUCGCCGAUAAUCUCCAGAGAUUAUUUCCGGGACGCAGGAAUAAAGGGACGAAAACCUGUACGUGCUCCACAUACGCGUACAGAGUCGUUGGAAGAAGAAGCAUCCUUCAAAGAUGGCACAUGCAGAGAAACAGAGGCUCUUUCUCUCCUCUCUGGGAGCAUCUGUUGCAUCGUGCAUCAACACCACCACCACUGGAAGGCACCAUCGCUACCACCGGCCCCGACGACCACCAGGUGCUAACCCACCUUCCGUGUCUCCCCAUCGUCGUCUUCGAAAAAAACCUUCCUCGUACCCCUCCCUCUCUGUUCUGCUCCCUCCUUUAUUCCCUGAGAUUUCCACCAUCUGCGUCUCUGCGCCACCCCUAGUCGCCUCUCCGUCCAACAGGCAUGCUCGACUAUAGGAACGUCCUCGUUAGACAUCCUCGAAGACUUCUGGCAACCACCUUCUGCCAAAUACGAGACUAAUUGUCAGCCAUCGUGGCUCGGCUCGAGGUGAUUUCUUGCUUCGAACUGGACAGGGUGCUGCGUGUUGAUGCAGCAACUGUUGAUGGAUGCUGUGGUAAACGCGUGGAGGGAAGAGCAUGGAUUCACACGGAAGUAAUGGCGAAGGAGGGGAUAAUCAGAGCUGGGUGUUAAUGGUACAAUGGGCAGCAUCUACCGGUUAGGUUCGUUCGAAUUUUCAAAGUUUUCUUCAACGGCGAGAGUCGCUAAUGGGGGACGAGCCGUUGUGUCGCGAAAAGGUAAGAAGGUGACAGAGCAGGGAGGAAGAGGGUGUGGCACCCCGCAUUCUUCCUUAGGGGCCGUGUACAGAGAAACUCCAGCGUCGGCGACUUUGCACAUCGGGCAACACCUGAUGAACGCAUUCAUCGACGGACACGCGAUGUUUUGAGAACUCCAUCCAGAAGUAUCGAUCCCACCUUCCUGUCCGUUGACUCUGCCCGCUGACCUGGACUGUCGUAUUGUCAUUUUGGUAGAAAGUUUCCAGGAAAAUGACAGGAAACGAUGAAGAAGAUCCAAGCGACUGCCUUAUAAUUAUAUGGACAUGAAAGAGGAAAAGCUCAAGAUUAUUUCAGUUAUGAUCGCAGCCGUAAUUACAGCAACAGAAUCAUUGGAAACGGUUCAUCGAGUCCAGCUUAUUAGCCCAACGAUAAAAUAAUCGUUGGCAGUUUGUAGACGUAUAAUUACCUUGAUCUCGCUGCAAUUACCUUUCGUUAUACCUGUCGGCUGUGAGAACAGGUUGCUACUUUGUGGAACUCGAGUACCACGUAAAGACAACGGUAUCUCUUCCAUUCUUAGUUCGAAUAUAAAAAGGUCUAUCGUUACAAGAACCAUUUAAUUGCACGAAAUAUGCAGUCUCAAGGUGUUAAUGAAUAAAAUAAAAAAUAACAGUAUUAAGUCUCCCAUGAAAGUCUCAAAGCGAGCCAAUAACAAUCCACCCUAUACUAUUCUCUAUGGAACUGGCAUUAAAGCUCCCCUGUUAUGUCUGCGAGAGACGAGUUAAAAAGUUUCUGCUUUCACAGCUGCUGCUCUGCUACCCAUUGGAAAGUUGUUUAUACUUUCGCGAAGCUGUGUACAGUAUUAUCAGCAAGAUUCAGAGAGAGGAGCAGCAGCACGCGAACAGAAGGAAACUCGGGCGACAACUUUCGUAAUACAACAGUUCGCGUGUUUUAACAUCAUCUUGGGUUCCUAAGAGCCAAGGCAAAUGGUAUCUAUCUUCCCCUUAUCCAAGAGAAGCAUGCGUUACCCUUUUCUAAAAAGGAGGCAAUAUUCAUCCCGAUUACCUUGCUAAUUACUCAUCUCGUGUAAAUUAAGCAUAUAGUAACUGUGGUGUAUGGAGGGAGCCACCUUCCCCUUCGAGGGAGAGAAGGCUAAGGUGCCCGGCAGCGUACAAAGCGUUUUCAAAGGGCUCCACCGAGUGCAGGGGUGUUUUUUUUCUCGAGGGUGGAUGAAAAGAUAAAGGAGUCCUCGAACUAACAACCGGGAAGGUGGAAGAGGAAACGGUGAAGAUCGGAUCUUUCCUUACGCGCAGUUAUGCAGGAAUCAGUAGACUAGUAAAUUCAGGUAACUUCUAUUAUUCACGGAACGAACGUACGAACGAAUUGGAGCAUGAAGGGAGAGAAGUGAAGCAUGCGACGAUGUACGAAUAGAUGUAGCGUGGCAGGAAAGCGGUUUUGCUUGGCCAUCAGCUUUCAAAGAGAGACAGAUGAGUAGCUGGACCACUGGCUGGUAGCCGGUGUACGUACGUGCAGCAGGUGAGCAGUAGGUCAACUCAGCUCACGUGCACAUUUAUAUGCGUUGCCUGAUGCUCGAUUCAAGAAAGUUCUUUGUUUCGUUCGGGAUACACCGUUUGAUCGGACCUAUUCCCCUUAAAUUAGCAAACAGAAGAAACUCGAGAAACGUGGCUUCGUUCACGUGGAACGAAACUCGAGGA